GCCACCGAAUACAUUAGCAUGGGAUAAUGGAAUAGGACCCUGUCCUCCUAUUUUCAGUUGGUUUUGGCAGCGCGAGGACUAGGGUAAUGAUUAAUAGGGAUAGUUGGGGGCAUUAAUAUUUAAUUGUCAGAGGUGAAAUUCUUGGAUUUAUGAAAGAUUAACUUCUGCGAAAGCAUCUGCCAAGGAUGUUUUCAUUAAUCAAGAACGAAAGUUAGGGGAUCGAAGACGAUCAGAUACCGUCGUAGUCUUAACCAUAAACGAUGCCGACCAGCGAUUAGGAGACGUUGAAUACAAAACACCACCAUCGGUUGCGGUCGUCCUUGGCGUCUCGGUUUCGGCCGGGGCGCGGGGAUGGCUUAGCCCGGUGGCACCGGUGAAUGACUCCCCUAGCAGCUUGUGAGAA
rnacentral:rRNA from 1 species